GAACAUAUGUUACCUUUAGGCCAUCAGCGAAUUUAAACUUGAGCUCUAUCCAAUCUUCACCUGCCAUCUCUCUCUAUUCCCUCCCACAAAACAACACAAAAAUCCCAAAUACAAAAAAGUCUUCGCCUUUUCUCUCUGGGGAAUAUCAUCGAACACAAGAUGGGCCCUUUUUGCCAAUUCAACCUAAAAAACGAAAACCCAAAUCAAAUUUCGUAGAAAACUCCAAGACCCUGUUGCUGAAGAAGGAUUCACUGCGAAAAGAUACAGACUUUUAUCCUCUUCUUGAAGAACAGAUCCAAUUAUAACUGAAGGGUUUUUCGAUUUAAGAAAGAAUGAAACAUAAAGAAUAUGGAGAAGAAGAAAAGAGAGACGCUUUGGUGUUGCUGAGGAGGAGAUCAACCGAGAAGAAGAAGAGGAGUAGUGAAUCAUCUCUUUGCUCGUUGAGAGAGAGAAAGGAGUUUCAGACUAAACUCUCUCUAAUUGUAACACGUGUCCCUUAAGACCCGGCGCUUCCUUCUCCUAAUUAAGCGUCGCUGCUUCAGAUAAUUGUCAUUUUUCUUUUUCUUUAAUUACAAAAUAAUCUAAGCACCUCUCCUAAGAUCUCGCGUUAAUGGUGGUCUAAUGCCUUUUUUUUGAGCAAAAUGCCUC
rnacentral:lncRNA from 1 species